GAGCAUUAAAUAUGAGAAGAAAAAUAUCUAUACCUACUAAGAUUAAAUGAAUAUCUAAAAUUAUGGUCAUUUAAUUUUGAUCUUACCU
rnacentral:antisense_RNA from 1 species